CCUUUUAAUAGGCUUUAAAACAUAUACAACUUUCAACAACGGAUCUCUUGGCUCUCGCAUCGAUGAAGAACGCAGCGAAAUGCGAUAAGUAAUGUGAAUUGCAGAAUUCAGUGAAUCAUCGAAUCUUUGAACGCACCUUGCGCUCCUUGGUAUUCCGAGGAGCAUGCCUGUUUGAGUGUCAUUAAAUUCUCAAUUCCCUCUGGGUUUAUUCUCAGUUGGGCUUGGAUAUUGGGGGNUCAUUGCUGGCUUUGCAAAAAGUCAGCUCUCCUUAAAAGUAUUAGCAGGACUUUUGUUGCAACCUUCUAUCUGGUGUGAUAGUUAUCUACAUCAUAGAUUAUGUGCAGUUUAUUAUGUCUGGCUUCUAACAGUCCAAUUGACUUGGACAACACUCUGAUAAUUUGACCUCAAAUCAGGUAGGACUACCCGCUGAACUUAAGCAUAUCAAUAAGCGGAGGAAAAGAAACUAACAAGGAUUCCCUUAGUAACUGCGAGUGAAGUGGGAAAAGC
rnacentral:rRNA from 1 species